rnacentral:sRNA from 1 species
AUGCCUGCUAAAAUCAAAAAGAAAUUAUCAACAAAUGAUAAUACUCCCACAAACUUCCAGAGGGGAGAUAAACUGGUGGCUACAGCAGCUGGAACAUUGGAAUGGAAAACAAAUUCGACUGUCCUCAAACCCGGACUUGGUAAUAGAAACAGACUUGGAGAGUCGUCAGAUAAGGGAUACCAGCAACUGGAUGCUGAACAAGGGAAUAUUCAAACAAAUAAAUCAGAUGUGGGGGCCAUUAAAAAUAGAUCUCUUUGCAGACAGGUUGAACACACAACUGGAAAAUUACAUGAGUUGGCGUCCAGACCGAUAUGCAAUGGGAAUGGAUGCAUUCCAGAUACCCUGGAACAACAAAAGAGGGUAUGCUUUCCCUCCAUUUUGCCUAAUAACAAGGUGUUUGUCCAAAGUUCUGAAAGAAAAGUCAGAAAUUGUCAUAAUAACUCCAGCAUGGCAGACUCAACCAUACUAUCCACUACUUCUGACCUUGUCAAUAGACAACCCAAUUCUUUUACCUCCCAUGAAAAACCUGCUACUGUCACCAGAGGGAGUAGUGCAUCCACUAGUCAGCAAUCAAAGCUAGUGGCUUGGAAGGUUUCAGGAGACAAAAACAAGCAGCAGGAGUUUCGGAGGAAACUUCCGAACUCUUGGCUGCAGGUUGGAGACAAGGAACUCAGACAGCUUACAACAGCUGCUGGAGACAGUGGGAUAGCUGGUGUCAAUCAAAACAAAUUGAUCCAUUUCAAACCUGUGUGGAAUAUGUAG